CCUACGGGAGGCUGCAGUGGGGAAUAUUGGACAAUGGGCGCAAGCCUGACCCAGCAACGCCGCGUGAAGGAAGAAGGCUUUCGGGUUGUAAACUUCUUUUAAGAGGGAAGAGCAGAAGACGGUACCUCUUGAAUAAGCCACGGCUAACUACGUGCCAGCAGCCGCGGUAAUACGUAGGUGGCAGGCGUUGUCCGGAUUUACUGGGUGUAAAGGGCGUGCAGCCGGGAAGACAAGUCAGAUGUGAAAGCCCGCGGCUCAACCGCGGAACUGCAUUUGAAACUGUUUUUCUUGAGUACCGGAGAGGUAAUCGGAAUUCCUUGUGUAGCGGUGAAAUGCGUGGAGAUAAGGAAGAACACCAGUGGCGAAGGCGGAUGACUGGACGGCAACUGACGGUGAGGCGCGAAAGCGUGGGGAGCAAACAGGAUUAGAUACCCCUGUAGUC
rnacentral:rRNA from 1 species